AUCACUGUAAUUAAAAACAAAAACUCCUGGAUACCUAAGGUUGGCAAAAUGCUGAUCGUUGUUGUGGCUGGCCGAAUUCUAAAGAUUUCAAGAUUCUAAUUUUGUACUGCUCUGAAGGGACUUUGCAGAUGGAAUUUAGAUGACUAAGUAGCUGACGUUAAAACAGGCAAAUUAUCCUGGGUUAUCCAGGCAGGCCCUUAAAAACAGAGGAGGGAGGCAGAAGAGUCAGAGAGAUAAGGCAGAAACAGAAAGCGGGAGAGGAGAGGGUGAAGGGGGAGAGGGACUAUUUACACUUCCCUUUAGGUUACAGGCACAGAGAAACCUUUAGGCUGAACUUAAAAUAUGUGAGUAGCUUUAAGCUAAACUUGAUUUAACAGGGAAAAACAGGACUUUGCAAAAAUUCUUUUAGGGAGUGUACUAUCGAGCACAUUUGAAGACCACAGGUCUCGAAAGCGGGGAAGACGGGACCCAGAGUCCCCCGCAGCAGCGUCACGGCCCAGCUCUGGUUCUCAAGUUGGGCUGCUGUUUUUCCCCUUUUUCUCAUCCGCCAGGAUGCCAGGCGCUGCUGAAAGCUGCAGCCGAAAGGAUUUAGAAUUCCUUACAACGGAGAAAGGGUCUUUGCUCAGACAACAUGGACUUAAGAGACGGAAGGGCCAAAAAGGCUUGAAAACAGGCUCGAAGAGCGGCUUCCUGGUAGCUAGAAGCUUAAGUGGGGACAGAUGAGCUUAACUGGCAAGCCUGCGUGUGUGCUCUCCAGCCCCCGUGAUUCAGUUUAAAUCUGGGCGGGUCUCCUCAAAGACAGUUCCAGAAGGGGCCACGUGAGGGCAGUAAGAGCCUCUCAAUGCCUGUUUUUGGGGGAAGAGAGAAGUGAGGGCGGAGCGCGGGGAGCGUCCCAGGCCUGGCUACCCGGAUAACUUCCCCAAAAGAAGCUAUGCUCGGGCCUUCCCAUCGUCCCACUCAAGAGCUUUCUUCAUAUUGGUCCCUUGGUUGAAUUCUGUGUUCUGAAGAGGCAAGAAUUGAGGUUGCUGCAGACCUGUAUGGAUUCGCCACCAGUAACAAGAUCUCAGAACACUGGAAAAAUCGAUGCACAAAAAAAAAAGGUUUCUGUUGCUCUAUUAGGAUGAUGUCUGAAUUUGAACCCACCACACGAGGGAAAAGAAGUCGACAGAGACUUGAGCUGUGCCGAAACAACUGUGUCCUGAUUUCCCCAGGCCCUACACAGCUCAUGGUAUACGGAAUGCAAGGGAAGAACUGCUUGCAGGCCACAGGGUGGACAAGGCCCUGGAGCUCUGCGAAACCAGGAAGGCACCAUGGAUGGCUCUGGCUUCCAGAAGUUUAAUAGGAAAAAAAAGGCAAACAAACAUUAAGACAGAAAAUGCAUGCAGCAUAUAGCGCCCACAGCUCCUUUUUCUUGGCGUGCCCCUGGUCCCUGCAGCCACUUGGCCAAGUGCAGUGUCUGUCUUCCUUCAGGUCCUCUAUUGGUGUGCACUUCUCGAGCCUAGGGCCACGUCUUUCCAUCUUUGGACAAAUGCCAGUGCCUUUUCUGACACAUUGGCAUCUACAGUGCAGAAAGCAGAGAAAUGUCAAGGAACCAAUCUGGGUAACAUCAGCAGCACCGGUAGAAUUAUACCUAGAACGAGCACAGAAAGAUAGAGGGAAAUUUGUGCUGCGGUUUCCAUGCUUCAAAUAUGCCAAGCUGUGAUGUGGCAAAUAUAAUCAUUAACGCUGCUUGAAACCCACAGGGAUCACUCCCGCAUAGCUAAAGCCUCAGUAUUGCUUUCGGCUUGAACUCACAACCUGAAACAGCCUUGAAUCUAGUAUACUGUGGCCCCUAAGAUCAUUUGCCAAUGGUCCAGAUCUUAUUUCAAGCUCCUCUUUCAAGCACCAGACGACCUGGAGUAUGGCCAUUUCCAGAACUAGCUGGAACUAUUUUUCAUCUAGGACCAUUCAAAUAAGUCUUUAAUGCAAUUAUCAGAAUUUACAAACUCGGAUCAUUCUCUUCUACUUUGCCAAUUGCUAAGUAAUCUUUUGAGGUUCUAAAACUCAGGGACUUUAAGAUGAUCUCUGCUGACACUGGAAAAGGAGAGGUCUCUUUCCUCGUCCUUGGCUAAAUAAUAGAUGAACUGGCAUCUAAGUUGCUAAAACUGAACUCCCAUUAGAGACUUAAAUGGCCUCAAAGUGUGUGUCCUGGAGAGAAGAGGCAGGACAUACUGGGAGUCUUGAGGAAUUAUAGAAAGUUGAAACUAAAGAAUAUCAAAAACUGUCUAGCUUAAGCCCUCAUUUCACAGAUGAGCAAAAAAGAGGCUUAGAAAUAUUAAGGGCUUUGCUCUAGUCUCAGAGCUGGUUAAUACCAGUACUAGGACUAGAACUAAGUCUCUUAAACAUUUAAUCCGGUUCCUUUUCCACAAUACUAUUCAGAAAACAAACAUUCAUUGAUCUGCAGAUGUUCGUCCUCUUGCGUUCCAGCAUUGUUGCAGCUAAUGCCACUUACCGUCUCCGUGAGCAUAUAUUUGUGCCUCAGGCAAGAGAGAAGGGAGGCUGACAGACAAGUUCUUCAAAUUAUAUUGAAUGAAGACCUAAAGAGUUUCCUAAGAGGUAAUAUGAGCUCUGAGGAAAGACCACUUGGGCUUUGGAAUUAUUCACUCUUGGUUUUAAUCCUGGCUUCAUCAUUGUCUAAUUUGUGACACUGAGCAAGUUAUAUCUUAAACUCUGUAUUAGUUUUCUAUUGCUGUUGUAUGAAAUUACCGCAAACCUAGUGGCUUAAAACAUCACAGAUUUAUUCUCUUACAGUUGUGGAAAAGGCCCGAAAUGUGUCUUGCAGGCUACAGCAAGGUGUCAGCAGGGCAGGCUCCUUCAGGUGUCUCUAAGGAUGAAUUGUUUUCCUGCCUUUUCCAGCUUCUGAAGGUCACCUGCAUUCCUGGGCUCAUGGCCCCUUCCUCGCAUCACUCUAACCUCUUGCUUCUGUUGUCACAUCUCCCACUACUGACUUUGACC
rnacentral:lncRNA from 1 species